AGAUUGAACGCUGGCGGCAGGCCUAACACAUGCAAGUCGAGCGGUAGAGAGGUGCUUGCACCUCUUGAGAGCGGCGGACGGGUGAGUAAUGCCUAGGAAUCUGCCUAGUGGUGGGGGGAUAACGUUCGGAAACGGACGCUAAUACCGCAUACGUCCUACGGGAGAAAGCGGGGGACCUUCGGGCCUCGCGCCAUUAGAUGAGCCUAGGUCGGAUUAGCUAGUUGGUGAGGUAAUGGCUCACCAAGGCGACGAUCCGUAACUGGUCUGAGAGGAUGAUCAGUCACACUGGAACUGAGCCAACGGUCCAGACUCCUACGGGAGCAGCAGUGGGGAAUAUGGACAAUGGGCGAAAGCCUGAUCCAGCCAUGCCGCGUGUGUGAAGAAGGUCUUCGGAUUGUAAAGCAACUUUAAGUUGGAGGAAGGUUUGUAACUUAAUACGUUGACUAACGUUUGACGUUUACCGACAGAAUAAGCAACCGGCUAACGUUCGUGCCAGCGAAGCCG
rnacentral:rRNA from 1 species